rnacentral:rRNA from 1 species
AGUCAUUGGGACUAGCGAAACCUAAAGGCGAAAUGAAAGUGAAGGUCGGCCUUGCGCCAACCGAGGGAGGAUGGGUCGCGUCACGUCGCGACCCCGCACUCCCGGGGCGUCUCGUUCUCAUCGCGAGAAGAGGCGCACCCAGAGCGUACACGCUGGGACCCGAAAGAUGGUGAACUAUGCCUGGUCAGGACGAAGUCAGGGGAAACCCUGAUGGAGGUCCGAAGCGAUUCUGACGUGCAAAUCGAUCGUCGGAACUGGGUAUAGGGGCGAAAGACUAAUCGAACCAUCUAGUAGCUGGUUCCCUCCGAAGUUUCCCUCAGGAUAGCUGGCGCUCGCUUUUGCGAGUCUCAUCUGGUAAAGCGAAUGAUUAAAGGCAUUGGGGUCGAAACGGCCUCAACCUAUUCUCAAACUUUAAAUGGGUGAGAUCUCCGGCUUGCUUGAACAGUGAAGCCGCGAGAUCGGAUCAGAGUGCCAAGUGGGCCAUUUUUGGUAAGCAGAACUGGCGCUGUGGGAUGAACCAAAC